UACGUAGGGAGCAAGCGUUGUCCGGAAUCAUUGGGCGUAAAGGGCGCGUAGGCGGUGCGGUAAGUCACCUGUGAAAUCUCCUGGCUCAACUGGGAGCUUGCAGGCGAAACUGCCGUGCUGGAGUGUGGGAGAGGUGCGUGGAAUUCCUGGUGUAGCGGUGAAAUGCGUAGAUAUCAGGAGGAACACCUGUGGCGAAAGCGGCGCACUGGACCACAACUGACGCUGAGACGCGAAAGCGUGGGGAGCAAACAGG
rnacentral:rRNA from 1 species